UAUAAGUAUUAAUAUCAGGCCCAACCCAAACCUAAUCGGAAACAAAUCUGUGAUACUCGGAGGUCGGAGGCUAACAACGCUCUGCGACAUAACAACCGUACCGCUUCACCUCCACUUUGGGGCGCAAGAGUAAGGUUCUGUAGUUAUUACAUUCAAUCGACUGAAGGCUGGUUGUUGUAGGGAGAGUGUUGUGACAAGACUGCUUCGUUUACGGGAGGGACGCAAUGUUAAGAGAGUGGAGAGCUGGUAGUUUUGAUACGGUUCUGGUUGAUGGAAAGAUAGGAACUCUGGAGCCUUAAACGAUCGUAACAGCUCAUAGA